rnacentral:rRNA from 1 species
CAGCAGUCGCCACGGUAAUACGAAGGGGGCUAGCGUUGCUCGGAAUGACUGGGCGUAAAGGGCGCGUAGGCGGAUUGUUUAGUUAGGCGUGAAAUUCCUGGGCUUAACCUGGGGACUGCGCUUAAUACAGGCAGUCUAGAGUGAGGAAGAGGGUUGUGGAAUUCCCAGUGUAGAGGUGAAAUUCGCAGAUAUUGGGAAGAACACCGGUGGCGAAGGCGGCAACCUGGUCCUUGACUGACGCUGAGGCGCGAAAGCGUGGGGAGCAAACAGGAUUAGAUACCCCGGUAGUCCCUGUCUCUUAUAC